UUCUAACGUGGACCCGUGAUCCGGGUUGCGGACAGUGUCUGGUGGGUAGUUUGACUGGGGCGGUCUCCUCCUAAAGAGUAACGGAGGAGCACGAAGGUUGGCUAAUCCUGGUCGGACAUCAGGAGGUUAGUGCAAUGGCAUAAGCCAGCUUGACUGCGAGCGUGACGGCGCGAGCAGGUGCGAAAGCAGGUCAUAGUGAUCCGGUGGUUCUGAAUGGAAGGGCCAUCGCUCAACGGAUAAAAGGUACUCCGGGGAUAACAGGCUGAUACCGCCCAAGAGUUCAUAUCGACGGCGGUGUUUGGCACCUCGAUGUCGGCUCAUCACAUCCUGGGGCUGAAGUAGGUCCCAAGGGUAUGGCUGUUCGCCAUUUAAAGUGGUACGCGAGCUGGGUUUAGAACGUCGUGAGACAGUUCGGUCCCUAUCUGCCGUGGGCGCUGGAGAACUGAGGGGGGCUGCUCCUAGUACGAGAGGACCGGAGUGGACGCAUCACUGGUGUUCGGGUUGUCAUGCCAAUGGCACUGCCCGGUAGCUACAUGCGGAA
rnacentral:rRNA from 1 species